CCCGCGAAAGCUACUCCUCCUUCCAAAUUCCGGAUCUCGCUAAUUCUCCCCUUCAAAUCAAUCCUUUUGCAGUUCGAUUUGGCAGCAGAAUUCCAUCUCCAAUCCCUUCCAUUCUCCGUAUGAAUUUAGAUCCUUGUAAUGGAACAACAAACUAUGUGAUGCUUUUCGGGAAGUUCUAGCUUUGAUUGCAGAGAACUAUGUCAAGGAGAGCAGUGAAUCCCUCUCGGCGACUCGCCGACAGUGGAACUCUUCCUUUUUCUGGGGCAUUCCCCCAAAAGUCACGAACUUCGCCAUUGUUGUCCAUUGGACUGCUCCUUUUGGGUGGCUUUCUUCUGAUUGCCUAUUCCUAUCGUGGCUCAGGUGGAUCUGGCAGUGUUAAAGCCGCUUCACGUAUAGGUGAAGUUCUAUCAUGCACAUCAGAAGUUCAACAAGCAAUACCCAUUCUGAAGAAAGCAUAUGGUGAUAGCAUGCGGAAAGUUCUUCACAUUGGACCUGAAACAUGCUCAGUCAUUUCUAAUUUGUUAAAAGAAGAUGAUAUUGAAGCAUGGGGAGUUGAACCGUAUGAUUUAGAAGAUGCAGAUACUAGCUGCAAGAUACUUGUCCGCAAAGGCAUCGUCCGUGUGGCUGAUAUCAAGUUUCCCUUACCUUAUAGGGCAAAGUCAUUUUCUCUUGUCAUAGUUUCUGAUGCAUUGGAUUAUUUGUCGCCAAAGUACCUAAAUAAGACCCUUCCAGACCUUGCAAGGGUGUCCACAGAUGGUCUGGUUAUCUUUGCAGGUAAUCCAGGUCAACGGAGAGCUAAAGUUUCUGAAUUAGCAAAGUUUGGAAAGCCGGCAAAAUUACGGAGCUCAUCCUGGUGGAUAAAAUAUUUUGUUCAGACUGGUUUAGAGGAGAAUGAAUCUGCGACAAAGAAGUUUGAACAGGCUGCCAGCAAGGACUCUUACCAACCAACCUGCGGAGUCUUCCACCUCAGCUUAUCUCAAUGAUCCAGUUGCUUCAUUUCAGGAUACAAAUGCCAGCUAUUGCUGCCCCCCUUAUCUAAAGUUUUCCCCUAACCUUUUUCAUUCAGCUUGAAAGUGGCCUACAUGAGGCUUCAUGGAGACUCAGGGAGAUACAGAGCUUCAGAUAUUCAAUUCUUGUCUCCAUCUUCAUUCUCAGCACCUGCAACCACAUGUUCCAUUCAAUCUCCUCUUCCUGAAGAUCAUAAAGGAUGAUCAACAAGUUGGAGAAGGUGGUAGGUAGGUAAGACUGAAUUUGAUAAUAAGUAUCAAGAACUCUGUCCUUGCUAUGAUUUUACUUAUAGUUGAGGUAUGUGUUACCAAAAGGACACCUAUGCCUUUUGGUUUGUUAUUUGCCAAAAAUGUGGGUUCAUGUUAUCACUUGUGAACAAUUACAUAGAUUCUUAAAGUGUCUGCUUAUUCAAUGUUCUGCCAGUUAGUUUGCAAAAAAAAAUAAAAUAAAAUAGUGUAACAGUAAUGUUAUCACACUUUACAAGCACUGUGUAUCCAAAUGA